UUCAAGCAAUUCUCCUGCCUCAGCCUACUGAGUAGCUGAGAUUACAGGUGCACACCACCACGUCCGGCUGACUUUUGUAUUUUUAGUAGGGACGGGGUUUCACCAUAUUGGUCAGGGUAGUCUUGAACUCCUGACCUCAUGCUCUGCCCAGCUUGGCUUCCCAAAGUGCUGUGAUUACAGGCUUAAGCCACAGCGCCCGGCCCAAAGUGUUCUUUUUUCCUUGAAAAGAAGUACAGAUUUUUUAAAAAGCUAAUAUUGCUGUGAUUCAACUCUCUAGUUACUUGAUGCUAUUUCUUCAUUUCUAUUGUAUUCACAUGUGAAAGCAUGUGAUCAGUUGUCACGGCAUCAAAGAUAGGAGAGUUUCUUUUUUUUUAGGUGGGCAUUAUUUAUGACCUUUUCUUUGGAAGAGUAAGGACAUUAAAAUGUAACAUGCAUGAUGAAAAUCUAAGUGGAGAUGGUAUUUGUGGUUAAUUAUGAUAUUGAGUGGUGCAUGAGGUAGGUGUUUAGAGUAAUAUUCUUUUGCAUUAUAGUAAGAACAUUUAAGUUUUGUUAAAAUUAAAAAAUUAGUACGUUAUUUUACUAUUUGUACUUUUAUGUAAUAAAAUGCAGUACAUUUUUAAAUUUUCAGAUGAUGUGUGAAC
rnacentral:lncRNA from 1 species